rnacentral:lncRNA from 1 species
UGGAUCCAGAUUCAACUUAUUUUCGUUAAUGAUCAAUACAACCGAAACUUCUAUAUGCGCCUGCAAACAUUUAAGUAUAAUCCGUCAAAGAUCAAGCAUUUAAGAAUGAAGAUCCGAACUACACAUAGUAGGCAAAUGAUUUGCCAUCUUUAUGGUAGUAAUACAUGUUUUUGUCAUGUCUGAAUUCAAUUGGAUAGAGACGGUGAUGGAAUCCAAAC